GAAAGGGUACAUAGGCACUAGGAACCAGGAACCACAGCCCUAAUUAGGUUAGUCACUGAACCAGAACGGUUCUCUCUACUCUCACUAAGUCAGCCUAGUGGAUAUGAGACGCUGUUGGUGGAGCAGAUGACAGCAAUGUUCUAACGAUGGGGCUGUAAUCAUCCCCGUGGUUGAGGCCCAGGCAGAGCUUUCCAAUGCUUCAGACAAUGGAGGAAGGAGGGACAUUCAUCAGGAGCCCAGCCUGUCUACACGGACGGCUCUAAAGGGACCCAGCUGUAGAGAUGUGUGACCAGAGGGCCAGACUGACUGCAGUGUAUCGCCAGCCUGAGGGCCAUACUGCAGUGUUUCCACAGACCCCAGCCACAGCCCAGCAACCACCAGCCCCUGAAGUGUCAUUGGAUGUUGGACAUUGGACACGGACUGGGAGAUGUGUGACAUGUCCAGGGUCUACAGGUCCAGACUCCAGUGUGGCCCCAGCCCAGCAAACAUCGGCCCCUGGAACCCCUACACUGUGGGAUCCUGUUCUCUGGAAACCUUGCUGUUGGAAACCUGCUUUGCUAAAGAUGACAUCUGGAAGCCUAGUUUUCCACAUCUCUCUGUUGUGUUUAUGUUUACGACCACUGGCAAAUCUAAUCUUGUUUCAUUAAAACCCUUUCCUUCAGUCAAAUUACCAAAUAUCCCUCUAGUGGCCUCAUGGGUGGAACAUUAUUAAAAUGUUUCAUAGUUUCAUAAUUAACAAACAAUAUUUUAAAAAAUAAAUAAUUUUAAACUCUUUAAGACCAUAGCCAUGUGUGUGAGGUGUAUUCUUUAGUUUCAAAGUAGAUUUUUUAAGACUACCAAAAGACACUCUGUGUGACCCUAAAUGAAGCCCGCUGCAGUACCUUUAUUAAAGUAUUCACUGGGCGGAGUCCAGCAGUACAGGACUAGAAUAGCAGGUUCUCCAAU
ensembl:lncRNA